UAUACCCUACGGGGGGCAGCAGUGAGGAAUAUUGGUCAAUGGACGCAAGUCUGAACCAGCCAAGUAGCGUGCAGGAUGACGGCCCUCCGGGUUGUAAACUGCUUUUAGUUGGGAAUAAAAGGGGGCUCGUGAGCCCCGUAUUGUAUGUACCAUCAGAAAAAGGACCGGCUAAUUCCGUGCCAGCAGCCGCGGUAAUACGGAAGGUCCGGGCGUUAUCCGGAUUUACUGGGUGUAAAGGGAGCGUAGACGGAAUUGCAAGUCUGAUGUGAAAAUCCGGGGCCCAACCCCGGAACUGCAUUGGAAAC
rnacentral:rRNA from 1 species